UAGGGAAUAUUGGUCAAUGGGUGAGAGCCUGAACCAGCCAUGCCGCGUGCAGGAAGACGGCCUUCUGGGUUGUAAACUGCUUUUAUCUGGGGAUAAAAAGCCCAUGCGUGGGACAUUGAAGGUACCAGAUGAAUAAGCACCGGCUAACUACGUGCCAGCAGCCGCGGUAAUACGUAGGGUGCAAGCGUUGUCCGGAUUUAUUGGGUUUAAAGGGUGCGUAGGCGGUCUAUUAAGUCAGUGGUGAAAUCCAACAGCUCAACUGUUGAUGUGCCAAUGAUACUGAUGGACUUGAGUACAGACGAGGUAGGCGGAAUUGACAGUGUAGCGGUGAAAUGCAUAGAUAUUGUCAAGAACACCGAUAGCGAAGGCAGCUUGCUAGCCUGUAACUGACGCUGAGGCACGAAGGUAUGGGGAUCAAACAGGAUUAGAUACCCUGGUAGUCCAUACAGUAAACGAUGAUUACUCGAUGUUGGCGAUACACAGUCAGCGUCUUAGCGAAAGCGAUAAGUAAUCCACCUGGGGAGUACGCUGGCAACAGUG
rnacentral:rRNA from 1 species